rnacentral:rRNA from 1 species
CUAACGCUGGCGGCGUGCCUAACACAUGCAAGUCGUACGAGAAAGUCGGCUUCGGCUGAUGAGUAAAGUGGCGCACGGGUGAGUAACGCGUGGAUAAUCUGCCUUUAGUUGGGAAUAACGUACCGAAAGGUGCGCUAAUACCGGAUAAUACUGCAUAACUACUGUUGUGUAGUCAAAGAAGGCCUCUGUUUACAAGCUUUUGCUGAAAGAUGAGUCCGCGUACCAUUAGCUAGUUGGUAGGGUAAUGGCCUACCAAGGCUACGAUGGUUAGCUGGUCUGAGAGGAUGAUCAGCCACACUGGAACUGAGACACGGUCCAGACUCCUACGGGAGGCAGCAGUGAGGAAUAUUGCGCAAUGGGGGCAACCCUGACGCAGCAACGCCGCGUGAGUGAGGAAGGUUUUUUCCGGACCGUAAAGCUCUGUCGAGCGGGAAGAAAUGUAUCGUGGCUAAUAUCCAUGAUAUUUGACGGUACCGCUAAAGGAAGCACCGGCUAACUCCGUGCCAGCAGCUGC